UCCUGGCGGGGGACCCGGGACGAACGAGCGCCGGGGACACGCACACACGGACUUAGACUUUCCGUGAGUACCGCGGGCUCCGUGAGCUGUGCCGUGGCGCCCGCCGUCCGCGCAGCACCUCUGCAACUCCGGCCUCGUCGGAUCCGCCCGGCAACCCCGGUCUGACGGCGCAGGGAGCCGAGGACCAACAGACUGAAGCGACCUGUGGGCGGCACGGGCCAGGGCCUCCCUACCCCAGGCCGACCGCGGGCCUAGCGCAGAGGGUCUGGGUCCGGCCCGGCUCUCGUCGUCCACCCCACUAGGAUCAACAACCAGUUCCUGGCAGGGCUGGACUGGGCUCUGCUUUACUGGGCUUCCCAAGAGAUACCCACGGGGAGGCACGUGUGGCAUGUGGAUGUGUCUCUGCAGCCCAGGAUUGGCUCAGCUGGAUAAAUCUGUAAUACAAGACCCUGCCUCCUACCUGUCUGUGCACACAGGUCUUAAGAGAUCAUUGAAAUGAGUAAGGAAGAGAUGCCUCAGCUCCCUGGAAAAGGAGGAAGAAUGCCAUAUGAAGAUUGGUGUUUUGCUGCCACGAGCCCAGGAACCAUCAGAAGCUGGGAGAGGAGCCCAGACCAGACCCUUCCUUAGUGCCAUCAGAGGGAAUGCGGCCUUGCUGACACCUUGACCUUGACAUCUGGCUUCCAAGAACAAUGAGACAAUAAAUUUCUAUUGUUCGAGCCACCCAGUUUGUGGUACUUGGUUGUGACAGCCUUAGCCAAACUAAUACACCACCCUACAGGAAUUUUUUAAGA